GCAUCAUUGGUUCAGGGGUAGAAUUCGUCGUUGCCAUUUCAUACCAGCUUCAUACUGGUCGAAUUCGACGAGACCGCGGUUCGACUCCGCGAUGAUGCA